rnacentral:rRNA from 1 species
AGAGUUUGAUCCUGGCUCAGGACGAACGCUGGCGGCGUGCUUAACACGUGCAAGUCGAGCGAUGAAGCUCCUUCGGGAGUGGAUUAGCGGCGGACGGGUGAGUAACACGUGGGUAACCUGCCUCAUAGAGGGGAAUAGCCUUUCGAAAGGAAGAUUAAUACCGCAUAAGAUUGUAGUACCGCAUGGUACAGCAAUUAAAGGAGUAAUCCGCUAUGAGAUGGACCCGCGUCGCAUUAGCUAGUUGGUGAGGUAACUGCUCACCAAGGCGACGAUGCGUAGCCGACCUGAGAGGGUGAUCGGCCACAUUGGGACUGAGACACGGCCCAGACUCCUACGGGAGGCAGCAGUGGGGAAUAUUGCACAAUGGGGGAAACCCUGAUGCAGCAACGCCGCGUGAGUGAUGACGGUCUUCGGAUUGUAAAGCUCUGUCUUUAGGGACGAUAAUGACGGUACCUAAGGAGGAAGCCACGGCUAACUACGUGCCAGCAGCCGCGGUAAUACGUAGGUGGCAAGCGUUGUCCGGAUU